rnacentral:sRNA from 1 species
CCUUAGCCCCGAUUGACGCGACAUCCUUUUUUUGUAGGGGAAAGAGUAAUGGCAAAAAAAGAUAUAGCAGAAAGCGGGAUUAAGC